CCUACGGGUGGCAGCAGUGAGGAAUAUUGGUCAAUGGGCGGAAGCCUGAACCAGCCAAGUCGCGUGAGGGAUUAAGGCCCUGCGGGUCGUAAACCUCUUUUGCCGGGGAGCAGUGGUCCGGACGCGUCCGGACCGGGAGAGUACCCGGAGAAAAAGCAUCGGCUAACUCCGUGCCAGCAGCCGCGGUAAUACGGAGGAUGCGAGCGUUAUCCGGAUUUACUGGGUGUAAAGGGCGUGUAGCCGGGCUGACAAGUCAGAUGUAAAAUCCGGGGGCUCAACCCCCGAACUGCAUUUGAAACUGUUGGUCUUGAGUAUCGGAGAGGCAGGCGGAAUUCCUAGUGUAGCGGUGAAAUGCGUAGAUAUUAGGAGGAACACCAGUGGCGAAGGCGGCCUGCUGGACGACAACUGACGGUGAGGCGCGAAAGCGUGGGGAGCAAACAGGAUUAGAUACCCUGGUAGUC
rnacentral:rRNA from 1 species